ensembl:lncRNA
CUGUGGUUGUAGUGGGAGCAGCUGUGGUUGUAGUGGGAGGUGCUGUGGUUGUAGUGGGAGCCGCUGUGGUUGUAGUGGGAGCCACUGUGGUUGUAGUGGGAGCAGCAGUGGUUGUAGUUGUAGCCGCUGUGGUUGUAGUGGGAGGUGCUGUGGUUGUAGUGGGAGCCGCUGUGGUUGUAGUGGGAGCGGCUGUGGUUGUAGUGGGAGCCGCUGUGGUUGUAGUGGGAGCCGCUGUGGUUGUAGUGGUAUCCGCUGUGGUUUUAGUGGGAGCCGCUGUGGUUGUAGAGUGGGAGCGCGCAUUGGUUGUAGUGGGAGCUGCUGUGGUUGUAGUGUGAGCCGCUGUGCUUGUAGUGGGAGGUGCUGUGGUUGUAGUGGGAGCAGAUGUGGUUGUAGUGGGAGCCGCUGUGGUUGUAGUGGGAGCCGCUGUGGUUGUAGUGGGAGCUGCUGUGGCUGUAGUGGGAGCUGCAGUGGUUGUAGUGGGAGCCGCUGUGGUUGAAUUGGGAGCCGCUGUGGUUGUUGUGGGAGACGCUGUGGUUGUAGUGGGAGCCGCUGUGGUUGUAGUGGGGGCCGCUGUGGUUGUAGUGGGAGUUGCUGUGGUUGUAGUGGGAGCUGCUGUCAUUGCUAUAACAUCAGCUGUGGUUGUUGUGGAAGCAGCUGGGGUUGUUGUGGGAGCCGCUGUGGUUGUAAUGGGAGCCGCUGUGGCUGUUGUGGGAGCAGCUGUGGUUGUAGUGGGAGCCACUGUGGCUGUAGUGGAAGCCGCUGUGGUUGUAGUGGGAGCCGCUGUGGUUGUAGUGGGAGAUGCUGUGGUCGUAGUAGGAGCUGCUGUGGUUGUAGUGGGAGUUGCUGUGGUCGUAGUGGGAGCUGCUGUCGUUGUUAUAACAUCAGCUGUGGUUGUUGUGGAAGCAGCUGUGGUUGUCUUGGGAGCCGCUGUGGUUGUAGUGGGAGUUGCUGUGGUUGUAGUGGGAGCUGCU